rnacentral:rRNA from 1 species
GAUGAGCGCUGGCGGCAUGCCUAAUACAUGCAAGUCGAACGAGAGCAAGGAAAGCCUGCUUUUCUGAAUCUAGAGGCGAACGGGCGAGUAACACGCAGGUAACCUGCCCAGGUGCCCGGGAUCACUUCUGGAAACGGAUGCUAAAACCGGAUAGGUAGCAGACAAGCAUUUGACUGCUAUUAAAGUGCCCACACCCAUGAACAUGGCUGGACCUGCGGUGCAUUAGCUAGUUGGUGGGGUAACGGCCCACCAAGGCGACGAUGCAUAGCCGGCCUGAGAGGGCGGGCGGCCACAUUGGAACUGGGACACGGCCCAAACUCCUACGGGAGGCAGCAGUGGGGAAUUUUGGUCAAUGGGGGGAACCCUGAUGGAGCAAUGCCGCGUGAAUGAAGAAGGUCUUCGGAUCGUAAAGUUCUGUUGUAAGAGAAAAACGAAAUUCAGAGUGAAUGAUGAGUGAGUGAUGUUAUCCUACGAGAAAGUACCGGCUAACUACGUGCCAGCAGCCGCCGUAAGAC